AAGUCGAACGAUCACUAUUGGGUAGCAAUAUUCGGUAGUGGGAGUGGCGCAAGGGUGCGUAACACGUGGGUAAUUUGCCGUAAAGUCUGGGAUAACUUGCUGAAAGGCGAGCUAAUACCGGAUGUGAUUGCUGGGGGGCAUCCUCUGGCACUUAAAGUCGGGGGCCGUAAGGCCUGACACUUUUCGAUAAGCCCGCGGCCUAUCAGCUAGUUGGUGAGGUAACGGCUCACCAAGGCUAAGACGGGUAGCUGGUCUGAGAGGACGACCAGCCUCACUGGAACUGAGACACGGUCCAGACACCUACAGGUGGCAGCAGUCGAGAAUUUUUCUCAAUGGGGGAAACCCUGAAGGAGCGACGCCGCGUGGGGGAUGAAUGGCUUCGGCCCGUAAACCCCUGUCAUUUGCGAUCAAACCUUACGACCUAACACGUCGUAAGCUGAUAGUAGCGGAAGAGGAAGGGACGGCUAACUCUGUGCCAGCAGCCGCGGUAAUACAGAGGUCCCAAGCGUUGUUCGGAUUCACUGGGCGUAAAGGGUGCGUAGGCGGUCGGGUAAGUCUGACGUGAAAUCUUCAAGCUCAACUUGGAAACUGCGUCGGAUACUAUUCGGCUAGAGGAAUGGAGGGGAGACUGGAAUACUUGGUGUAGCAGUGAAAUGCGUAGAUAUCAAGUGGAACACCAGUGGCGAAGGCGAGUCUCUGG
rnacentral:rRNA from 1 species